rnacentral:snoRNA from 1 species
GUUUAUGAUGAUUUACCACUUUUUCACGACGGUCUACUGUUUGUGGUGACUUGUAAUCACCGCACAUUGAUGAAACACUCGGCCUUGACCGGCCGUGGUUCCUGAAC